GAUGAAGAACGUAGCGAAAUGCGAUACGUAAUGUGAAUUGCAGAAUUCAGUGAAUCAUCGAAUCUUUGAACGCAUAUUGCGCUCUUUGGUAUUCCGGAGAGCAUGCUUGUUUGAGUAUCAGUAAACACCUCAACUCCCUUUUCUUUUUUGAAAUUGGAGCUGGACUUGAGUGAUCCCAACGCUUUCUUCCAAGAAAGUGGCGGGUUGCUUGAAAUGCAGGUGCAGCUGAACUUUUCUCUGAGCUAUAAGCAUAUCUAUUUAGUCUGCCUAAAAAACAGAUUAUUACCUUUGCUGCAGCUAACAUAAAGGAGACUAGUUCUUGUGCUGACUGAUGCAGGAUUCACAGAGACAGCUUCGGCUGACUUUGUAAACUCGAUCUCAAAUCAAGUAAGACUACCCGCUGAACUUAAGCAUAUCAAUAAGCGGAGGA
rnacentral:misc_RNA from 1 species